UGUCGUGGCCUGGUGAACCCAUCUCAAUAGCUCUCUUUGCCCAUAAGUCUGCAGACUCGUUUCCAGGAAUGCCACAAUGGCCUGGGAUCCAUCCGAGUACUAUUUUUAAUCCCUUUGAUUCACAUUUUCUUAAUAAGGUUUUGAUCUGAAGUAUCAAGGGGAAUUUUGCCUUCAUUUUAAACUGGUUGCCCAUAAUAGCUUGCAGGCAACUCCUGCUAUCUGUAAAAAUGAUCAUUUUUGCUAUAUUGUGAGAGUCAGCGUAUGCUACAGCUUCCAAGAUGGCAACAGCCUCGCCUGUGAAAAUGGAUGAUUGAGGAGGACAUUUAAACAUCAAGACAAUGUUAUAUUUUGGAAUCACCACUGCUGCUCCAACACAAUUUGCAGGAUCAUUUUUUGAUGCGUCAGUAAACACAGUGACCAAUGAAGCAAGAGCCUGCAAGCGUGUAAUCAGCAAGUGAUUGGAGUUGGAGAUAGCUCUUAUGAGGAACCUGUCAGCAAGAUAUUGUCUACGCAGCACCAGAGGAGGCUCCACACAUUCUACUUGCAUGGCAUUUUUUGGGGAAGAUCUCAUGGCACCAAAUGAGGUUUUCCACUCAUUUUCCGAUCCAGGAUGAUACCCAGGAAUUUGGUUGACUCUUUAUUGGGAAUGCUUUCUUCACCAUAAUGAACAUCUGCAGUUGGCAUGUUCCUUUUGCGACUGAAGGUCACAGCACAGCUCUUGGAGGGUGACAAAGACAGACCAUGCUCUUCAAGCCAAUCCUUCAGGUAACUCAGGCCCAUGUUCAACCUUGCAGACGCCGUAUCAACAGAUUUUGCGGAAGUGUAGAGGAUUAGAUCAUCUGCAUACUGUAGAAUGUUACAAAAGGGAAGCACAGAUUGCUCUAAAUCAUAUGUAUAUAUGCUGUAAAGAAUUGGACUGAGAACAGAUCCUUGAGGAAGGCCCUGCCACAGUGUACGAGGAGAAAGAUAAGAGCUGCCAUCACGGAUUUUGAUGGUUCUUCCUAUGAAUAGAUUGGAGACAAUUUGUACAAUCUUCACGGCAAUGCUCAGAUGUAGCAUUUUUGCUCUGAGCACCGGAAGAAGGACAUUGUCAUAAGCUGCCGAAAUAUCAAGAAAACAUCCUAGUAGGUCCUCAUUGUUGGAAAGCGACAGUCUGAUAUCCGUGGUUAGUAUGUUUAAGCUGUCCAUAGUGCUCCUACCUUUUCGAAACCCGAAUUGGGUGUUUGCUAACAUUCCCCUGCUCUCGACGUACCACUCCAGCCUAUUCUUUACUAGGUGCUCAAGUAUCUUGCCCAUCGUAGUGGAGAGCGCAAUCGGUCGGUACGAGCUGGCCUCUUGGGGAUUUUUAGUUGGUUUCAAUAUUGGGAUGACAAUUUGAGUUUUCCAAUCUUCCGGGAUAUCUCCUGAGUCAAACACGUGAUUUAGAAUGCCAAGAAAGUAUUCCUGUGAGAAUGAGCUCAGUUCAGUUAUAAAACAGUAAGGAAUACCAUCUUCUCCCGGUGAAGUGUUGCGCAGUCCAUCCAAAGCUAUUUUGAGCUCCGCAACCGAAAAUGGUUCGUCAAAGGUGGUUGAUGGAGGAGGGAGUGGUGGUGACACUACACAAGAUAAUUCUGGGGCAGUUGGGGGUGCCAGUUUGUCAGCAAAGUCCAAAAGCCAAGAUGACCUGUCAGAAGAACAUAUGAUAUCCGGUUUAAAGGACCCUCUGAACCGCCUUAUAUUUUUCCACACAACUGAUGGGGGAGUUCUAGGGGACAAACUCUCACAGAACCCUUUCCAACCCUUUUUCUUAGUUUUGGACAAUAAGCGUUUAGUGCGGGCCGAGGUUUUCCUGAAAUUGAUGAAGUCCUCUAUGUCACCAGAUUCAUUAAAUUUAUGUUCAGCUUCAUCUCUCUCUUUCACGGCAGCUGUGCAGUCAGCAUUCCACCAUGGAGGUGAAAGGAUUUUAUCCUUUUUGUUUUUUUUCCGGGGGAUAAACUUAUCAGCUGCUUCUAAAAGUAAAUUUUUGAAUUUUGAGUAAUUUUCCCUAUUGUCAUUUAAGGUAGAGUCCCAUUCUUUAAUUUUUGUUUCGACAUAAAGUGAAAAUUUCGACAAGUCAGCUGAUUGUAUUCUGUAUUUCAAAAGCGGUUCAGGAGACGGGGAUGGAAGAACAGAUGAGGGCUUGGAUAUAAUAAUGGGAAAGUGAUCGCUGCCAUAGGACUGACGAAGCACAGUCCAAGAUAACAAUGAGGCCAAAUUAGGGGAGCAAGCUGACAAGUCGGGAACGGACUGUGGGUUCUGGCCAGGAUAGACUCGAUGUGUGGGCGAUCCGUCGUUUAUAAUGCAAACGUUGAUUUCAUCGAAGAUUUCUAACAAGAGUGACGAAAACCCAUCUGAAUGGUAUGAUCCCCACGAAAUGUUGUGUGAAUUAAAAUCGCCUAAAACUAUAUGAGGAGGAGGGACAGAGUUUAGGAUAGAAGAUAAUUCAGGAAUAAGGUCAAGGUCAGGGUGAGGUAUAUAUAUUGAAAUGAAAUUAAUGCCCAUAACCUUAGCGGCUACGGCAUUAAUUUCAUUUCCAUGAGGAGGGAGGGGAAUUUGAGAGAAGGGGUAGGAUUGCUUGAUCAACAAAGCGCAUCCCGCACGUCCAUCGAUGCGGUCAUCUCGAAGGCAUGAGAAGCCCGGGAGUCUAAACUGAGACCCGGGCCUCAGCCACGUCUCCGAGACGGCCGCGACAGACACAGAAUGUUCGUUGAUCAGCUGGAUGAGAUCUGGUUUUUUAGGAAUAAUACUCCGGCUAUUCCAUUGAAGAAAUGUGGCCUGGCGGUCCAUGGUGGUGAGGGAAGGAAAGUUUUUCUACUAGGGUCAACAUUAAAGGUGCAACGUCGUUCGGUAAUAUAUCACUCCAUUUUGCGAUGAUAUUAGUUAACAGUUUAAGGAGGAGCUCCAUGAGGUCCUCAUUAGGAGUUUCUCUGGUGUAUGAGUUAUUGAGGGCUUGUCCGUUGGGGAUUUGGGAUGGAGGGGGUCGGACUAUAUUGUUAUGGGCUUGUUGGUCAUAACCUGGGGAUAAGGAAGGUCUUGAUCGAGGUGACAAAAAUACUGUCUUGCGGUGAGAGGUUCUGGGAGGGGUAGAAGAUAAAUCUGUUAAGUCAACGGGAGAUUGUGAUGGGGGGGAAAAUUCUCUGGGGCCAAACAUUAUAUUUGCAACGUCCGCAUAGGGUCUACGAGUUACAACUGGGACUUGUGUGGAUGCUUCAGCAUAUGAAAUAUUUCUUUCAGACAUUAUCAGUUUGAUGGACUUUUGUCGGUGAUGUUCUGGGCAGUUUCUGUCAGUGGCAUAGUGUCGGGCAGUGCAAAAAAUACAGGAUAUGUGUUCGGGAGCUACAUUACACCCAUCACCCGGGUGCUUCUGGGCACAUUUGUAGCAGCGGGCAUCUGAGCGACAUUGAGUCUGGAUGUGUCCAAAUCUAAGGCAUUUUCGGCAUUGAAUUGUUGGCAGUAGGUAUACCUCCACCACUAGAGAGGUAUAAUAAGCAAAUAUUCUAGAUGGCAAAGUUUGACCUUCAAAAGUAACUACUACAGUCUGGGUUGGAACCCAGGAUGGAGAGCCAUCCUCCUUGGUCACUUUCCUUUGUAGUCGACGCGCUUUCAAAAUCCUACCUUUACCUUCUAUUAAAUUUGUACCCUUAACAAAAUCAAUCAUGGACCAAUCUGUUGGAACUCCUCGAACUAGACCCAUACGAGAUAUGUUGUACGUUGGUAUGUUUGCUGAUAGCUUGUGUUUAUCUAGCAUGGGGUUUUUUAAGAUAGAGUUGGCAUCAACGGCUUUAUUGAAUGUAACUGACACUCUAUUGCGACCUACAGAUUUUAUCCCGUCCUUCUUAAUAUUUGUGACAUUUGCCUGUGUUAAGAGCAUACCUACGUAGAUGGCUUUCAAUGUUGACCUGGAGUCAGUAGAAGAUUCCUUUGAGAUGUGUACCACAAAUGGGCCAUCGUCGUCUGCAUUGUAUCCUCGACCUUCUGUGUCAAGAUCCGGGUGUUUGUACAAAAGUGGGUUAGCAUUCUCAUCGAUUUGUUUAUCUACGUGGGGGUUGGUGACAUCCUCAUUUACUAUUGUUACCUGUUCCGAGAUCUCUUUGUGGACGUCGGUUGUAAUUUUUUUAAGAGCCGGUUCUUGUGGACUACUGACCGGUGAUAAGUCUAAUGUUUGCAAGUUUCUUUUUCUAGAAUUAUUUUCAAUGUCCAUACCAACCAUAACAUUAGAGUUACCAUCGGUCUCGUCAGGCGGCUUUUCCUUCUCAUUCCCCUCCAUUGGCCCUAAGGCCAAAAAGGCCUUACCCUAGCUUUGUAUCCGAACAAAUGUAUUAAUAACCUAACUUAUGUAAAUAAACCUCAACCAAGUUAAUAAAUAAGGAUGAAAUUUAUAAAGGAUGU